CUGAUCUUAGAAGCAGAUCUAAGUCUGUGAGAUACAAGCUUUUGCCGGGCACGACAGUCAUCUAGUAGCUACAGAAGGCAGUAUCAGCAGAGCCUGUGGGAAGUCAGACACCAGCCCACUUUUUCCCACCCACCCAGAUGCUCUCCCUCUCUGGUCUGUACCUUCUGUGUGGCAGCUGGAAGAGAGGAUGGUAUUCGGAGGUCUGAAGAUGUAAGGCAGGUAACGAGAGAAGCAUUUCAUCUUCCAAAAAAAAAGGAAAAAGAAAAAAAAUCUAAAUAAAAAACCAGUCUCCUGAAUCCAUAAGGAUUCUCUCGGCCCUUAAAGCUGACUACAUCACCCACAUGUUUAUGGAGGCUCGCUCCCAGUGCUGCAAAGCUGGGGAGCCCAAGGAAUAACUGGAGAUGGGUCCCAUUUUGCCAUCAGCGCCAGGAAGCACUGCCUUACAUUUCUGCAUGCAGCUCAAACUCAGAAGCCCCCAAGCAAGCCGGGAUAUAGCCUCUUCAUUGGCUGCAGCUCCUCCGAGCAGGAUUUGCUGAGAAGAAAAUGAUCAAGAGGUUAGCAAGAUGGGAAGCAACCAGCACGUUUGCAAAUAGGGAAAUCAAACAAUGUCACAUCAAAAUAAGAAGGAAGGAAAUCCAGCCAGCUGAGCAGGUCACACAAUUCUCCCACACAGGAAGACCUCUUUGGCUGGAGCCCAAGAUGUUGGACUGAGUUUCUCUCGAAACAAUCAGGUGCGGGGAGAGCCCCCAAAAUGACUAGACACGUGUGGCUCACCUGCUGACCUAACCCCAUUGAACUAGACUCUGGACCAUCAUCAUUAGGGAGAGGAGUUGCCGAGGGAACUGCAGCUCUGUGGGGCAUAAGCUACUCAGCCUCUUGUAGUUGUGUGCAAAAAAAGAUGUGUGAUUAAUAAGCAAUAGGAAGGACAAUUACAAUGGCGGGAGAGAUGAAGUGAGCUGAAUGUCAUUGGAAUUGGGCCACUACCCCAUGCUUUAGGGCUGGUGGGAUGCUGUUUCUUAUUACAUCUAAUAAAUUGCUCAACAAGUAUUUAUUGAAGGCCAACUA